AAAGAUUUGAUUUUCCAAAUAGUUUUUCAAUUCAAGUAAUAUGUGUUUAAAAUAUUAAUUAGGGAACCAAAUAAUAUGGAAAAUUCAACUGUUGCUUCUUUUUUGCACAUGUGGUGUAUCAAAAAUUAAAACAACACUAUCUUUACAGAUCAACUUACAUUUCUCAUAUUUGAAAUGACUCAAAGGCAUGGAGCCAUAUCAUUUUAAAAGAAAGAAUGAAAACUUUAAAAGGAAAUUAAGUUUGCACUGAUUACUUUUUAAUAUGUGCAUUUUAAGAUUUUUCCUUCUGUGAAUAAGAUCAUUUCUCCCUUCACAAUGUUUACAUUCUGGUUGGAGAGAUCAUAGCAUUAAAAAUUCCCAGUUUGAGCCAUGCGAAAUAUAUACAACAUCAUUUUGGAGAAACUAGAUUUUCUUUUUAAAGAUUUAUUUAUUUAUUUGAAAGUCAGAGUUACAUAGAGAGGAGAGAGAGAGAGAGAGAGAGAGAGAGAGAGGUCUUCCAUCUGCUGGUUCACUCCCUAAUUGGCCGCAGUGGCCGGAGCGCACUGAUUCGAAGCCAGGAGCCAGGAGCUUCUUCCAGGUCUCUUCUGUGGCUGCAGGGGCCCAAGGACUUGGGCCACCUUCUACUACUUUCCCAGACCAUAGCAGAGAGCUGGAUUGUUAAUGGAGCAGCUGGGUCUCGAACCGGCACCCAUAUGGGAUGCUGGCGCUUCAGGCCAGGGCAUUAACCUGUGCCACAGCGCCAGCCCCUAGAUUUUUUUAAAUCAACUUAUUUAUUGAAAGGUAGUGUUACAGAGAGGCAGUGAAAGAGAGAGAGAGAGACAGAGAGAGUCUUCCAUCUGCUGGUUCACUUCCCAAAUGGCCACAAUGGUUGGAGCUACACCAGUCCAAAGCCAGAGGCCAGUAGCUUCUUCCAGGUCUCCCAUGCAGGUGCAGGGGUUCAAGACUUGGGCCAUCUUCUGCUGCUUUCCCAGGCCACAGCAGAGAGCUGAAUCUGAAGUAGAGCAGCUGGGACUAGAACUGGCACCCAAAUAGGAAGCUGGCACCGCAAGCUUUACUUGCUAUGCCACAACACAGGCCUCAAGAAUUUUUUUUUUUACAAAAAUAAUUACAGCAAUCAUAAGAAUUUUUAAGAAUCAGUAAUUGUGCAAUCAUUUCAUCAGAUUUUAUAAAAAUUGUAUUUGUCUUUCUGCUGUCUCAUGUUAAUUCAUAAGUUAUCAUAGAGCUAAUUUAUUGAAAUAACUUAAAUAUUAGUUUCAUAGCCAUUAAUCAGACUGAAUUCUGUGGUCAAGGAUUUUUCUCUAUCACCUAUAACUUUGGGCCAUUUAGUAGGACAAAUAUAUUUAUUGUAAUUAUAUUCUCUGCAUACAGUUGGCAAAUUCAUUGCCCUAUGAUGCAAAAGAAUGUGGCAAGAACUAAGUAAAGUAAGUCUAUAGAAUUCUGCGAGAUUCUCCAAAAGGAGAUUUGAAUAUAACAGAAGUGUUAUUCAUUGGAGUUUAAAAAUUGUCUGACUCAGACAAGUUAGUUAAGUGACUAAAAUCUGAAACCCACACUGAAUUCCAGUGAAUGUCACUUUGAUUUUCACAACUAGUGAUAUAUAGGACUGUUCACCAGGAACUGAACAGAACCCAAAGUAAUCCUUAUUGAAUCCUUAGUUAUCUUGAUGUUGUAAUGCAUUUCUGUUUCUUGGGGUAGGACUUAGGUUCACAGAUGCUACACAGCAAUUUAGCAAUUAAUUGUCUAAGUUUUCUAUUCAUAAAAUGAUCAAAUUACAGUAGACUGAAGAUGUGGCAUUGUGUAUAUUAAAUAUUGAAUUUUAGCAUUAAGUAAACUACUUUAUUAAUUAAAAAGUUAAUUAAAAUGCAUAUUGAAAAGGAUGUUUUGUGACUUCAAAAAGGGCAAAUUUGGAAUUCGGGUAAAUUUAAAAGUUACUGGAAUACAGUUUCAUCCUUGGAGAUAGUAAUUAACUGAAUUAUAGGACCACUGUGAGUAUUCACAAAUUAUGUAAGUCAUUGACUACAUUUGACUUUUUAAUCUGGUCAUCUCAGUUGUUGCCUUUUCUUAAAUAUAAUGAAACAAAUAAUUAAAGUAUAUACAUAUACAUGCAUGCACAACCAGCAGUUAAGUGACUGUUUAUGUAAAGUAUACUAGCUAUUUUACAUGCUUAAUUAAUAUUAGGGAACUAUAAACUAUGGAGUCUGUUGAGCUACUUACUCUCUUGAAAUCAAUUUAGUUUACAGUAAUGGCAUACCACAGAUUCUUAUUAAGGAAUUGUUUUAAAACCUAAGAGGUGCUAGAGUGUACUGUAGCAUAAAACAUGUUUGGUAGCUUAUACCUGUGCAUUGCUUCACAUUUUUGCUAAAAUGAUACAACAUCCCAUUGUAGAUAUGUCCCAAUGUAUAGAGGUCCAUCUGCUGAUUUUAAAGAAGACUUAAAAUGUGCAUCCUUUUCUUUUAUGGUAUUCUCUCUGGACAGACUUUUUUUUUUCAAUUUAGUCAUCAUUUUGUGGUUUGAAAUUAGCACAUUACUUUCUUAAUGACAGUGUCUAAUAUUUGGUUUAUUUGGUUGAUUCACUUACACAUACUUUCAUAUUUCAGGAACAUUUUGGUACAUUUGGUUUAACUGUUUGUCUUGUUUUUAAUAUUUAUUCACUUAUCUUAAUGAAAAAUCUUAAGGCUGGAACAGAAUUUACCAUAUUAAGAAAUGUAUUAUUAUAAAAUAUUUAUUACCAAAUAAAUAUAUUAACUUAUACUUAUUAUAUUCAGCUACAUUUAAUAAACUAGUUGAGAACUGUCUACACUUAACCUCAAGAAGUGAUUAAUAAUUUUGUAGGACACAGAGCUGUGUCAAAAUAAGGACUUACUUAUUUCAAAUUUUAGUGUUUUCUAUUAAUUUAAUUCAAAACAAAAAUAAUUCUGGUUUCCACUGGCUCUAAUAAUAUUAUACCCUUAAAACAAGUAUGCUAACUGAGAUAUUGUGGAUAUUUUGAAUGUCUUCCCUACCUAGGGACCUAAUUCUUUUGGCAAACCAUCAUGCCAACAGUUCCCUCUCUUAAGAACAAAUUUGCAAUAAAGACUCUUCUUGGGGGGCUGGCUCUGUGCUUUUGUGGGUAAAGCUGCUGUCUGUAGUGCCGGCAUCCUAUAUGUGCACUGGUUCGUGUUCUGCUGCUCCACUUCCCAUCCAGCUCUCUGCUAUGGCCUGGAAAAGCAGUAGAAGAUGGCCCAAGUCCUUGAGCCCCUGCACCUGCGUGGGAGACCUAGAAGAAGCUCCUGGCUCCUGGCUUCGGAUCGGGGCAGCUCUGGCUGUUGCAGCCAAGUGGAGAGUUGAACCAGUGGCUGGAAGACUUCUCUCUCUAUGUCUCUCCUCUCUCUGUGUAACUCUGACUUUCAAAUAAAUAAAUAAAACUUAAAAAAAAUAGACUCUUCCCUGUGCCUAAACUUCAGUAGUAGUGCUUCACAACUGUGCAAGGUCAAGUGAUCCCCCAACACUGAUCUUGCAUAAUCUGUGAGCACUUUAGAUUUUAGCUUUGUGGAUCCUAAGUAAAUCUAGACUGAGUGUCGAAACCAGCUUUUAACAUGAAGCCAUAAUCAAAAACACCCUAUAGAAAAAAUUAUUGAAAAUGAAUUUAUUAUUUCUGGAAUGCUAUAGUCCAAAUGUUUGAGCAUUCAGCACCCCCCUCCUUGCAAUUCAUAUACUGAAACUCAACUCCCAGUGAGAUAAAAUUAAGAGGUAGGGCCUUUAGGAGGUGAUACGGUUAUAGGGGCCCUUCCUCAUGAAUGGGAUCAGUGUCUAUAUAAUAGACUUUAGCUAGCUUCCUUCCUCCCCCAAGUGAGGAUGCCAUGAGAAGAGGUCUGACCCAGAAGGUGACCUUUAGUAAGCACCAAAUCAGCCUAUAGCUAGGAUUUCCCAGUCUUCAAAAUGAGAAAUAGAUUUCUAGUGUUUAUAAGCCACCUGCUUGUGAUAUUUUUGUUAUAGCAGACUAAACAGACUGAUACAGCUAAGCUUCUUGAAAAGCUAUAAAAGAAGAGUUACAUUUCAUGCUCUAUGUCUUCUGGAAAACCACUUUUAUGUUCCUCUUGUUAAAGAUUCAACAUUCUACAAUUCUCUUUCGUUUGUUUUGUUAAACUCCUCAAAUCAUUUUAUCUUUCCUCUGGCUAUAAGACAGAUCUGCUUUUGUCACACCUACCCAUACCUCUGACACACAUGAAUUUAUGCACACUUCCUCAAUAUGUGAUUUGCUCCUUAAGGUAGCUUUCUUCUAUGCCAAACAUUUUGCUUCUCUGAGUUUUCUGGUUCUUUUUUUUUUUUUUUUUAAGAUUUAUUUAUUUGAAAGCAGUGUUAGAGAGAGAGAAGCAGACAUCAAUUUACCUUCUGCUUGUUCAUUUCUUAAAUGGAUGAAAUGGCUGUGGCUGGGUCAGGAUGAAGCCAGGAGCUUUAUGUAGAUCUUCCACAUAGGUUCAGGGGCCCAAGCACUUGGGCCAUUUUCUGCUGCUUUCCCAGGCACAUCAGCAGGGAGCUGGAUUGGAAGUGGAGCAGCUGAGAUUUGAACCUGCACCCAUAUGGGAUUCUAGUAUCACAGGCAGCAACUUAACUCACCACACCACAAUGCCUGCCCCCAUGUUUUCUAUUUCUUGUUCACGCAGUCAAUGGCUAUGUAAUAUGAAGAGAAGAGUAGGAAGUGAGGGAAAUUUCUUGUUCUAUAUUUUCUUUUGCUUAUUAUAUUUAUCUCUUUUGACGUUGUUGGAACAUCUUCCUGCUCUUUACAUGGGAAUGAUCUACACUAUCUAUCUAUUACUGUCACUCAGUUUGUUAUAUCAAAGUAGGAUGAAGGCUACAUUUUUGGAAUAGCCUAUGUAAGACUUUUUUUUUUACAAUUUUGAAGCCAAUAAAAGUAAGUCUGCCCUGGGGCAUCUAAUAAGCAGCUUACUAAGGACUGAGGAGAGGCAGAGGAAGAAAAAUGGAUCAUGUUCGCAUAAAACUCAUGGUCUACCAGGAAAGAUAAAUUUUAUAAUAUAAUUAGCUAUUGUAUGAGCUUCAGUUGCUGUAGGAAAUUUAUAGACCUAAUUGAAAAUUGAAAAGGGCAUUUACAGCGAUUCUGAUUUUGGUGGACCAAAAACUUUGAAUCAUGCCUUGUAGACUGUGUAGUGUAUGACAGAGGACUCAGGAACUGUUGAGAAAAGUGAACCAUAGGUUUGUGCAUGGCCUCUGCUCAUUUGUGUGAUUCAGGUGUUGUAGGAGUACAGAUUGUGUACGAGAAAUUUUCAAAAUCUUCAUGGAAAAUAUACUUUAUGAAAAAAAGCUGUAUAGAUUUCCAAAUGUUUUGCAAAAAGAAAAGUCUUUUAUUUUCCAUAAAUUUUUUUGAAAACCCACAGUACAUUAAACCUGCAUUUUCUUAAAUAUUUAUUCAAGAUAGGAGUAGAGAACUAUGAUGAUUUUAGCAGGAAAACAUUUACAUACAGAAAUCCACAAGAAAAAUCCGAACAUAUAAUUACUCAGAGUAGAAAUUGCUUUUAAUAUUUGUUUUAGUGGAAAACUUUAUCAGAUUUUGCCAUCUCAUACAGAUAAUUCUGGAUAGAUAUAGUUUUUUCCACUGAACUACUAUGUUUAAAUCUUUUAAACCCAUAUGUCAUGCAAAAAUUCCAUGCAAAAAAAAAAAACAUGCAAAUCUUCAUAUUAAUUUAACACAACUCCCAACUGGUCCAACUGUAUUUUGAAAAUGCAUUUCCUGUUCCUGUAUCUAAAGGUCAUUGUGCUUUCAUUCUUUAAUUUCCACCAUAUCUAUUGUUGUUAAAAACUGAUUUUAUUAUGAAAUGACAAAGAUAGGUACCUGAAGGACAAUCCUGAGAAAAGUUCCUUAGAAAUUAUCAUUAGGUUUUUGCCCAAGAAAAUAUAUGCUAUGCGUAAUUUAUGUAAGAGUACUAAAAUGUCGAAAAAUUAAAAGAAUAAAACUAGCAAACUGGCACUUUUCAAUGCUUUAGGCUCUGUUACCAAAGAAUAUUCCUCUUUUAAACAAUCACAAAGAAUUUAAAGACAACCAAAAAUAAUAGGCUCAUUCUCACAUGCUAAGAAUUUAAGAAUUAGUUGCAUGACGAAGAAAAUAUUCCUUGUAAAUACCACAAGUAAAGAAGGCUAUUAAGUUACCAUAUACAGGCCAGCAAUGUGGCACAGUAUGUUAAUCCUCUGCCUGCGGCGGUAGCAUCCAUAUGGGCGCCGGUUCUAGUCCCGGCUGCUCCUCUUCCAGUCCAGCUCUCUGCUAUGGCCUGGGAAAGCAGUAGAAAAUGGCCCAGGCCCUUGGGUCCCUGCACCCACGUGGGAGAUCGGGAAGAAGCACCUGGCUCCUGGCUUCAGAUCGGCGCAGCUCCAGCCAUCGCAGCCAACUGGGGAGUGAACCAGUGGAUGGAAGACCUCUCUCUCUCUCUCUCUCUCUCUCUCUCUCACUGUUUGUAACUCUACCUCUCAAAUAAAUAAAUAAAUCUUUAAAAAAAAAAGUUACCAUAUACAAAAAUGCCUGCUUGGAGGAAAUCAGACUAAAGGUGGCACCAGGGCUCAGUUAGGACCCACAGUCUUCUUGGUCAAUUACUCUGCCAUCUUUUAUUUUGCCUUUUAUCAAAAUUCUUGCCUUUCCACUGCUGGUAAAAGGGUGGUUGUCAUAGCUUUGGAUAUUCUCUCUACUCAAGGAAAGGGAGGAAAAGGGAUUCCAGGAGGAAAUUCCUUAGAGUGGCUCUCACCUUUUGUCACUGGAGAAGAAAUUCUAGACUCUCUCCAACAGUCUUGCUAACAUUUCGUUGGUCAGAACUAGCUCAUAUCUCCAUCUCUAGCUGCAAGAGACUAGCAAGAUAAUUUCUGGCAAGGGGGGUAUGCUAGACAUGACUGUUUAGAUCAAUUAUAAGGCAUCCUUUAUAAAUGAAUGCAUUAUCUUCCUGAAUAAAACACAGUUCUGUUUUGAAGAAAAACAUGUCUUUGGUGGGUAGUGGUGGCAAAUUGUGGGGGAAGUAAAUUGGUUAGUGGAUAGUGUCUUUCACAUUCAGGAAGAUUCUAGCCAAGCUUUCAUAGCUAGCAAUUGCAGAAUGGGAUUGUGCCACAUAUUUAGAGACAAGUUCACAAAUUGUUUACAUAUAGCAUGAGAGCUUUUGAAGCAGAAAUUGGUAGUUUUUUUUUUUUUCUUGAUGGUAUUAUUGUUAGAGGAGUUAGCUGUACUUUUAAUAAUUGAGAUUAUGCUCUUAGUUAACUUUCAAAGUUAAAAAAACUUGUUUUUUCUAUAUUACAUUUAUUAAGACAGAAAAAAACUAUCCUGAUGCAUCACUAAUAGCAUGUAUUGCAUCACAAAAUGCUGGCAUUGUGUUUUCCAACUUGACAAUGCUCUUUAAACACUUAAAGUUUAACAUGUAAAUGCUUUUUGCCAAAAUUUAAAAAAUGAGAUUGCCUCCAAAAAUAGAAGUGUUAGAUAAAUAUGAAAUGACACUUAUACUUCAUUUUAAAAAGAACAGUCUUCUUUUCCAGUUCUUUGUGUAAAAAUUAGGUAAUUAUAGAAUAUACUCCAGGUAAUUAAGAAGAUUUUAUCUACUUAGUAGUUAAUAAAAAAAAUAACCAGUGAGAAACAUUUUCAAGGAAAUCCAUAUAGAAUUUUUGGUUGUAUCUCUGAAGUUAUUUUAAUUAUAUCUUUUCUUUAAGGACACCUGUUGAAAUAAAAUUGAGAUAAUUAUUUUUAAAUUAAAAAUGUGUUCUUAAUAUUAGUUAACAUUUAGCAGGCCCUGAUAUCAAUGUGGCUUCUAGUAUUAGUCCAUUUUUGCACAUAAAUGAAAUAUGUUAAUAGCAUAGAAACCACAUAGCCACUUAAAAUUCUUGAAAGGUGAAAUUUUAUAUGAUGAAAUUUCCCUGGAGGCCAUGAAUAAGUUAGGAACAAGAAUACCAAGUGGGUAGUACUUUGUAUUGCUAGUUCAGUUUUCAUUUAGUCAGCUUACAUAUUCUGGUUUCUCAGUUGCAUAUGAUUCAUAUAAAUAAUUCACAUACUUGGUUCAAAAUGUGAAAAUAAUUGGCAAGAGAUUAUUUGGAAUAUUUUUGUUUCCAAUGUUGAAUACAUCUACUAUACAAGAAAGCCUUGAAUAUUUUUGAAAAAAUUAGGUUCUCAUUAUCUUUCCUAAGUAUGAUUAUUUUCUUCUUAUACCUGCAAUAUCUGCAUGAUUUACAGUUGUGAUAUCAAAGUGAUCAGGCAGGAGUGUGCAAGAGCUUUGUUCUUGGACAUACUCCUGAGUCUCAAUUUUCUCACCUUAAAAUGACAGUGACAAUAACUAAAUUACACGGUUGUUGUGAGGGUUGGCUAUAACACAGGUGAAGAGUAUCUUAUUCUCAUAUCAACUUGGAACAGCAAUUAUUAUUGUAAUCUACAGAGGAAAAACUGAACUUCUAAGUUGUGUUUAUAAAUAUAAAUAAUACUUUCAAAGACAUUUAGAAGUACAAUUUUCAACUUUGUCUUUGUUCUGAAAAAGACUAGUUUUUAAGUAGAUCAUCAAUUUAAUUAUGCUGUACAUCUUUUAAAAUAUAAUUUGAUGAACGAAAUUGUUAAUAUUUACACAUGUUCUCAUUACCCACUUAAAUGGGAAAUAGAUCUGACACUGUUUUUAUUUGUGAUAAUAGCUUACAAAUACACGUUUCGGGUAUGUGAAGAAGCCAGCCAUAUGCUGGCUCUUCUCAGGAGGUCCACCUUAGUGUAUGAUUCAGUUACUGACCUUUUGCGCUUAGAUUCUUAAACAUGUUAUGAGUGCUAGAGCAAGCCUAAACCAUGUUAUUUUUGUUAUGCCAGCUACAUACAAAUGUAUUUCAUCAAUCACGCCACACUCCUAAAAGAUCUUCAUUGUUUCCCUUCCAUCUAUAGUGUAAGAGCUAAACUCCUACCAUUAAAUUUGGUAUUGUAUUACAUUACAAAUGCUACAUUAUAUUGCAAGCAUGAUAACCUCCCAUCAGUUUAUCGUUCCAUACAUCUAUUUUGGACCACGCUUGUCUGUGAACAGGGUGCCCAUUUGGAAGACUCCCUCCUUUGUUUCAGCCCAUUGGAAUUGAAGCCUGUUCUGUUUGUGUUUAUUCUUUUGGUGAAGCAUAGAAUGCCCCUUUUUCAUUUCCAUUCCUUCAAAACUCAUUGAAAUGUUGAAUAUUUUCCUUGAUAUAGUGAAGGAAUAUAUAUUUUAUGCUGAAUUUUUAUACUGUCUUCUCUGUCUUCAGAUACAAUAUAUUUUUGCUUUACGUUUCAUUUUUCUCCAUGUUUUAUUAAAUUUACGUGUUUAUUUGAAUAGGGAGAGAGAGAGGGAGGGAGGGAUAGAGAAAGAAAGAGAAAUCUCAAAUCAACUAUUUCUCUCCCAAAUGCUUGCAACAACUGGAACUGGACCAGGAUGAAACCGGGAGCCUGAAGCUCAGUCUGGGUCUCCCACAUGGGCAGCAGGAGCACACGCUCUCUUGAGCCAUCAGUGCUGUCUCCCAGGGUAUGCAUUAGCAGGAAGCUGGAAUCAGAGGUGGAGCCAGAACUUGGAGCAGGUACUGAUUUGGGAUGCAAGCAUCCCAAACAUCAGUUUAACCACUGAUCAAAUUAUUUUUUCUCAUAUUUUAUAGUUAUAUCUAUUUUAUGUAUGAGUUUAUAAACCCCUUGAGGGAAUGCUAUAUGUUUUAUAAUUUUACGUAUAUUUCACAGUAUCUAUCAAAGAUUAUUAUAGAUUAUAAAUAAAAAAUUCUAGAAAUAACUUUAGUAUUGAUCAUAUAAUUAAUGGUUGCAUGAUUCUUGCCAUAUUUUUCCUUUUAAUAAUAUAAGUUUUGGUGCCAGCACUGUGGCAUAGCAGGCAAAGACACCAGCUGCAGUGCCAGCAUCCCAUAUGGGUGCUGGUUCAAGUCCCGGCUGCCCCAUUUCUGAUCCAGAUUUCUGCUAAUGGCCUGGGAAAGCAAUGGGAGAUGGCCCAAGUACUUGGGCCCCUGCACUUGCAUGGGAGACCUGGAUGAAGCUCCUGGCUCCUGGCUUUGGAUCAGCCCAGCUCCAGCCAUUGCGGCCAUUUUUAAUGAACCAGCAGAUAGAAGACAUCUCUCUCUCUUUCUGCCUCUGUCUCUCUUUAACUCUGCCUUUCAAUAAAUAAAUAAAUCUUUUAAAAAUUGCAUAAUAAAAAAUAAGCUUCAUGAAGUUAGGAACUUUUAUCUGCUGUUCUCAUAAUGUAUUUACAGUGUUUGAAAAUAGUAUCAGGGCCCCCGUCAUGGCAUAACAGAUAAAGCCUCCGCCUGCGAUGCCAGGCUCCCAUAUGAGUCCUGGUUCAUGUCCUGGCUGCUUCACUUCCCUUCUAGUUCCCCGCUAAUAGCCUAGGACAAGUAAUGGAAAAUGGUCCAAGUGCUUGGGCCACUGCCACCUGCAUGAGACAACCAGAUGAAGCUCCUGGCUCCUGACUUUGACCUGAACAAGCCCUGGCUGCUGCAGGAUUUGGGAGAUGAACCACUGGAUGGAAGAUCUCUCUCUCUCUCAAUCUGUCUCUCUCUUUCUGUAACUAUCUCUCCCUCUUUCUCUAUAACUCUGCCUUUCAAAUAAAUAAAU